rnacentral:lncRNA from 1 species
CUUUCCUCGCGGUGACUCCGCUCGGGGGACGGAGCCUCGACCUGAGGCAGUUAGCAGCCCCACCGCGGGGGAAGGCCCUCCUGGGUUCCCAGCCCCUCGCUGCCCUGCUGACAGCUACCCGCAGUGAAGUGACAAGGGGGCAUCGAGCAGGGCUGCAGCCACAGGGCUCCGAGUACUUCUGUUCGCGUUCGGUGCGGGCCGAAGCCGGAGCCGCGCGGGGCAGCGCCGCGAUAACCGCACCAACGCGGUGCACUUCCACCCGCCCCUCUUCUGCCUCGGCCUGCACCAGCUCCUGCCCUGGUCCGGCAGCAGCACAGCACCACCCCGGCGACCCAGGCCUGGGCUGCCCCUGGACUUAAUUCCAAAACAGUGACAGGAGCAUCAAACACGUCUUCAUUUAUUCAUCUGGUGAAAACAAGGCUUGGCCAUCACCUGCAGGGAAAGCUACUCUGUACCAAUCUCUCAUUAAUACAUCGGGCAGACCAGAGCCAGAACACAACACGCACGGAGGCUUCUCUGCCAGCACAGAUUCAGCACCCCCCAGGAGAACUGGGCACAACCCAGUGCUGCCAGGAGCUGGAGAGAAGUCUGAAACAAUCACUCUGGUGUCUUCUCUUCAUAAUUGCAGGAGGGGUCAGUGCACCUUCUGCUGAAGGAGAGCAUUCCCUCGUGCUCCCUUCUGCGCCCCACCGACCUGUGCACGAUGCCACACAGGUCUUCUGCUGGAGAGGGGAAAACAAAGCUACCACAGGGCUAAAUCCAGUGACAUUUCCUUUGUUAGCAACUCAGCUGAUGGACUUCUUGUCUCUCCCCGCUCUUUUUGCAAGUUUUGGUCAUGACUUUGGUAACUCAAAAAAACCAACCCAACAAANGAGAGAUGGUGGAGUCUCCUUCUCUGGAGAUAUUCAGGAACCAUCUAGAUGCCCUGUGUGCCCUGCCAUAGGGAACUGCUUUGGCAGGCGUUGGACUCAAUGAGGUUUUCUCCAACCCCUACAGUUCUGUGGU